rnacentral:rRNA from 1 species
GUGUUGAGGAAGAUAAUGACGGUACUCAACAAGGAAGUGACGGCUAACUACGUGCCAGCAGCCGCGGUAAAACGUAGGUCACAAGCGUUGUCCGGAAUUACUGGGUGUAAAGGGAGCGCAGGCGGGAGAACAAGUUGGAAGUGAAAUCCAUGGGCUCAACCCAUGAACUGCUUUCAAAACUGUUUUUCUUGAGUAGUGCAGAGGUAGGCGGAAUUCCCGGUGUAGCGGUGGAAUGCGUAGAUAUCGGGAGGAACACCAGUGGCGAAGGCGGCCUACUGGGCACCAACUGACGCUGAGGCUCGAAAGUGUGGGUAGCAAACAGGAUUAGAUACCCUGGUAGUCCACACCGUAAACGAUGAUUACUAGGUGUUGGAGGAUUGACCCCUUCAGUGCCGCAGUUAACACAAUAAGUAAUCCACCUGGGGAGUACGACCGCAAGGUUGAAACUCAAAGGAAUUGACGGGGGCCCGCACAAGCAGUGGAGUAUGUGGUUUAAUUCGACGCAACGCGAAGAACCUUACCAAGUCUUGACAUCCCUUGACGAUGCUGGAAACAGUAUUUCUCUUCGGAGCAAGGAGACAGGUGGUGCAUGGUUGUCGUCAGCUCGUGUCGUGAGAUGUUGGGUUAAGUCCCGCAACGAGCGCAACCCUUAUGGUCAGUUACUACGCAAGAGGACUCUGGCCAGACUGC